rnacentral:lncRNA from 1 species
CUCUCACUGGAGAUCCCUGCCUCCCAGAGGUCUUCUGAACAGAAACAAUUUCUGACUUUACCCAUCUCCUCCAUGGAUGGUGAGCAUGAGUGUGGGAUUAGGAUGGCGUGCUUGUGAGCUCCCUUUGUGUGUCAACCUGAGCUGCAGCAUCUUUUUUUGGCUGAGCUCCUCCAGCACUGGCUGCCUGCCCGUUGCAGGCUGUCCUCUGGGCAGGUUUGAGCAUCCCCUGUAAAAUAAUUUGGACCUUCAGCUUCCAGAAAUGUCGGCAGCAUCCUGAGGAUGACGUGAAGGUGACCAGCUGUUGGUUGAGUAGUGCAGAGACCUUUGGAGAACCAUACGUGUUCAGCUGGGGAUGAAGGGCUAAAUUCAGACCAUUUGUGCUCUUGGCAUGAUACUCACCCUCAUCAGCGCUGUGUUUGCUUUAGAAGUCUGACUUAGCUGGCAUGUCUCCGUCAUUGGCUAAUGAGGAUUAAUUCUGAUUCUCUUCAGGCUUCAGAGAAACAGAUUGUGGAGGGGCUUUCAUCACAGGGGGAAUUAAAGAAGCUAGCAAAGUAUCUUAACCCAAACCACGCCACUGAUGGCUUUCAGUCAGAAAGGAGGACAGAUGAGAUUAACCUCAAAACCCCUCUGCUUCCUUGUGGGGACUAUAAACCUCAGUGCCAAGUGAGAGAAGAAUGCAGGAAAAGAAUCGUUUUAAUGUGGAUGUGUAAGAAACUGGACCACCAAGUCCAUUCCACAUUGGCCACUGAGCAGUCAUCAGAGGGUGUUGACUUUUGACCACUACUGUUUUUGUUAACAAGGAAAAUAAAACCAUAUGUUGC